AGAGUUUGAUCAUGGCUCAGAGUGAACGCUGGCGGCGUGGAUUAGGCAUGCAAGUCGAGCGAUCCUUGUUGUUGAUGGAAGCUGAAUCCUUCGGGAUGAUGUUUCCUGAUACAGCGCUGGAUAGCGGCAAACGGGUGCGUAACGCGUGGGUAACCUACCUUGAGAAGGAGGAUAGCUUGCUGAAAAGUGAGAUAAUACUCCAUAAUCCCUUGGCAUCAAAGAUGACAAGGGCAAAGAUGGCCUCUAUUUAUAAGCUGUCGUCUCAAGAGGGGCCCGCGUCCUAUCAGGUUGUUGGCAGGGUAAAGGCCUACCAAGCCUAAGACGGGUAGCUGGCAUUAGCGUGUGGUCAGCCACACCGGGACUGAGAUACUGCCCGGACUCCUACGGGAGGCUGCAGUCGAGAAUCUUUCCCAAUGGGCGAAAGCCUGAGGAUGCGACGCCGCGUGGAGGAUGAAGCGUUUCGGCGUGUAAACUCCUUUUGUCGGGGAGGAACGUUUCUCGGUUAAUAGCUGGGGAAUCUGACUUUACCUGACGAAUAAGCCACGGCUAACUCCGUGCCAGCAGCCGCGGUAAUACGGAGGUGGCAAGCGUUACUCGGUUUGACUGGGUGUAAAGGGUCCGUAGGCGGCCAGAUAAGUGAAAGGUGAAAUUUUUCGGCUUAACCGGAAAACUGCCUUUCAAACUAUUUGGCUUGAGGUUGAAAGAGGAGAGCGGAACUGCCAGUGUAAGGGUGAAAUCUGUGGAUAUUGGCAGGAACGCCCGUGACGAAGGUGGCUCUCUGGUUCAAUCCUAACGCUGAGGGACGAAAGCUAGGGUAGCAAACAGGAUUAGAUACCCUGGUAGUCCUAGCUGUAAACGAUGGGCACUAGGUGUCUCUGUUCUUGGAACGGGGGGUGCCGUAGCUAACGCGUUAAGUGCCCCACCUGGGGACUACGGCCGCAAGGCUAAAACUCAAAGGAAUUGACGGGGGCCCGCACAAGCGGUGGAACACGUGGUUUAAUUCGAUGCUACGCGAGGAACCUUACCAGGGCUUGACAUGCUGGAAGUAACUACCCGAAAGGGUGGGUGACCUGUAUCCAAUCAGGAACCAGUGCAGGUGCUGCAUGGCUGUCGUCAGCUCGUGCCGUGAGGUGUUCCCUUAAGUGGGAAAACGAGCGCAACCCUCACCCUUAGUUGCUACCAUUCUGACUUUACGUCGGAAGCUGGGCACUCUAGGGGUACUGCCUACGUUUUAAGUAGGAGGAAGGUGGGGAUGACGUCAAGUCCGCAUGGCCCUUAUGUCCUGGGCUACACACGUGUUACAAUGGCGCGUACAACGGGAAGCUAAGCCGCGAGGUGGAGCAAAUCCUUAAAAACGCGCCUCAGUUCGGAUCGAAGGCUGCAAUUCGCCUUCGUGAAGCUGGAAUCGCUAGUAAUGGCGCAUCAGCAACGGCGCCGUGAAUACGUUCCCGGGCCUUGUACACACCGCCCGUCAAGCGCUGAAAAUGGGGGGCACCCGAAGCUUUGACUUUUGUCAGGGUUACGGUGAAUUUCAUGAUUGGCGCUAAGUCGUAACAAGGUA
rnacentral:rRNA from 1 species